CCCUUAGAUGUCCUGGGCCGCACGCGCGCUACACUGAGUGUCUGAGAUACGAGUCUGCCUGGUCCGGCAAGGUCUAGGUAAUCGCUAAAAGACACAUCAUGCUUGGGAUAGAUUAUUGCAAAUAUUAAUCUUGAACGAGGAAUUCCUAGUAAGCGCAAGUCAACAGCUUGCGUUGGUUACGUCCCUGCCCUUUGUACACACCGCCCGUCGCUACUACUGAUUGGAUGUUUAAGCGAGGUUCUCGAACUGCUAGCGACUUAGCUUCGGUGAGGUCGCAGUGUGGGAAGUGAACCUAGCUUUGGUGUCUAGAGGAAGUAAAAGUCGUAACA
rnacentral:rRNA from 1 species